AGUAAUGUAUGGGGAUCUGCCCGAUAGAGGGGGAUAACUACUGGAAACGGUGGCUAAUACCGCGUAAUGUCUACGGACCAAAGCAGGGGCUCUUCGGACCUUGCACUAUCGGAUGAACCCAUAUGGGAUUAGCUAGUAGGUGGGGUAAAGGCUCACCUAGGCGACGAUCUCUAGCUGGUCUGAGAGGAUGAUCAGCCACACUGGGACUGAGACACGGCCCAG
rnacentral:rRNA from 1 species